rnacentral:pre_miRNA from 1 species
UCACUGCUGUUCGUGGGAUUUAUGCAGUUAAUGUCGUUUUGCCUGCUGAUCCUACUUAUACAGUGU